AACGAACGCUGGCGGCAUGCCUAACACAUGCAAGUCGAACGAGACCUUCGGGUCUAGUGGCGCACGGGUGCGUAACGCGUGGGAACCUGCCCUUAGGUUCGGAAUAACUCCCCGAAAGGGGUGCUAAUACCGGAUAAUUUCUUCGGACCAAAGAUUUAUCGCCUUUGGAUGGGCCCGCGUUGGAUUAGCUAGUUGGUAGGGUAAAAGCCUACCAAGGCGACGCUCCAUAGCUGGUCUGAGAGGAUGAUCAGCCACACUGGGACUGAGACACGGCCCAGACUCCUACGGGAGGCAGCAGUGGGGAAUAUUGGACAAUGGGCGAAAGCCUGAUCCAGCAAGGCCGCGUGAGUGAUGAAGGCCUUAGGGUUGUAAAGCUCUUUUAUCCGGGAUGAUAAUGACAGUACCGGGAGAAUAAGCACCGGCUAACUCCGUG
rnacentral:rRNA from 1 species